AGUGACACCCUGAACACUCCAUCAGGAGCAAUCAGCUUUUAACUGCAUCUGCAGAGUCAGUGAUGGAAGUCGGUCGGUUUUACAGCAGUGCCUGUGGAGUGUGCCAGCCGUGUCUGUGUGCUCAGAUGGCCGCGUGUGUGUGAAUUCUGCCUGUGUUCUGCAAACAUGUCUGUGUUGUUUCUGUCCGAGUCGAAUCAUUACAUGUAAAUAAUAAUAAAAUCUUGCAUUCGUGUGGUCAGCCACAGGUAUCCAGCUGAGCAUGACCGAGCAAAAGGGUUAAAUUUGGGCUGAUGCUCUUAGGUGUUUCCUUCUCUACAGUCAGCUGGCUCCCAGGAGAGAGAGCUUGUCAUUGCAGGUCAUGGCUGCCAGGAAUCCUACCUGUAAAAAUAGAUUUUCUGUCUCAAGGGCCUUAAUAAGAGUGUUGUUACACAGAACUGUUUUGCAACGAUAGCUCUAAAUAAUUUAUUUUUUAUUUUGACGAAGUACACCUUAAGAAAUAAUAAACUUGUUUUUUC
rnacentral:lncRNA from 1 species